GGCCGGAAUACAAUCAAAUCGUAUCUGCACCAUGCCUAUGACACCCUGCUCACACGUUCCCUCAACAGCCAGCCAAACUCCUCCUCUCUCUCCGUCAUCUCAGAUCCAGCCGCCCCUUCCAUCUCCUCUUCCACAACCGGCCACCGUCCCGAUCUGAAGGUCUCCGACCAGAUCAGCCUCCUCCCCACCACGGCGUGCGGUGAGGAGUCCCCGGAUCGCUCGCCGUCACCCAGUGCGGUGCAGAUCUGGUAGUCCGCCCUCACCAAGCAUUCGAUGCGUUGACGGCUCCUAGCACCAGAUACCACGACGAACGAGCUGUGUUCUGCCUCCUCCGGCUGCCGAGGACCACGGACGCCACUUCGUCUCACCGGCUAGCUUAGCAUCAGCACCGACCACUACUCACAGGUGUGCAAAAUUGUUGCUACGUCAUGGAUCUAGUAGCACAUGGAUCUAUCACUUUUGCUCUUGGUCUUGUGUUCUCCAGUGCGUGAUGAAUUUGAUGAUGAUGAAAUGGAGGCUGGACGACGUCUGCCACACGAGUUAACAUGCCAGGCUCCUGACUUACUUUAGUUCAUGUCUUCAUGACCAGCAAGUUGUCCUGGUUCCUGCAUAGAUUGUAAUUUUGUAGGCAGAAUUGUACAAGAACUUUUCGGAUGUCCCACUCGUACUUUGCAGAAUUUUGACGAAGGACUUGUAUGUUUUAACAGAACUUUGUUUUACAGAGUAGACACUCUGAAUAAAUUGCUAACGAACUUUAUUUUUGUA